rnacentral:rRNA from 1 species
GCAGAUAUCAGGAAGAACACCGAUGGCGAAGGCAGGUCUCUGGGCCAUUACUGACACUGAGAAGCGAAAGCAUGGGUAGCGAACAGGAUUAGAUACCCUGGUAGUCCAUGCCGUAAACGUUGGGCACUAGGUGUGGGGGACAUUCCACGUUUUCCGCGCCGUAGCUAACGCAUUAAGUGCCCCGCCUGGGGAGUACGGCCGCAAGGCUAAAACUCAAAGGAAUUGACGGGGGCCCGCACAAGCGGCGGAGCAUGCUGAUUAAUUCGAUGCAACGCGAAGAACCUUACCAAGGCUUGACAUGCACUGGACGGCUGCAGAGAUGUGGCUUUCUUCGGACUGGUGCACAGGUGGUGCAUGGUUGUCGUCAGCUCGUGUCGUGAGAUGUUGGGUUAAGUCCCGCAACGAGCGCAACCCUUGUUCUAUGUUGCCAGCACGUGAUGGUGGGGACUCAUAGGAGACUGCCGGGGUCAACUCGGAGGAAGGUGGGGACGACGUCAAAUCAUCAUGCCCCUUAUGUCUUGGGCUUCAAGCAUGCUACAAUGGUCGGUACAAUGGGUUGCGAAACUGUGAGGUGGAGCGAAUCCCAAAAAGCCGGCCUCAGUUCGGAUUGGGGUCUGCAACUCGACCCCAUGAA